UUGCAGACUCUUGUCAGAGCCCCUCUGUGUUUGAGGAAAUGAGCAGAUAAUGUGAAAGUGCUUUUAAACCAUCAAGAGGUGCUGGGGUGUGGGCAGCAUGCCCCCUGGCGACUACAAUAGGCUCCCACAGGGCACUUGGCACUUUGGAAUCAUGAUGUCCCAAUGUGCUCUUGUAUGGGGGCAGCUCUGCCCUGUAUCAAAUCAGCAGGUUGUCUGAAGCAGGGGCCAUUCUCACCCUUCUCCUUGCUUACAGGUGGCUCUCGAGGGCUGGUACAUGGGCGGCUGUGGCGUCGGGAUGGGGUCCUUGCUGUGACCUGUGCCCAGGAGGGUGUGAUCCGAUCGAAGCCUCGGGUAUCCGAGAGUAAACUAUAGUUGGAGAUUAACUCGCUCGCCUGGGGCUCUAAGGACUCUUUCUGCUGCCAUUCCUUUGGCAGAGGUCACAGUUGAGCUGGGCUUCCUGCCUCUUACAUCCAAUAAAGAGAUUGCUAACACUGG
rnacentral:lncRNA from 1 species